rnacentral:tRNA from 1 species
CUCGUAGCUCAGUCGGUAGAGCGCCAGACUGAAAAUCUGGGCGUCGGUGGUUCGAUUCCGCCCGAG